rnacentral:rRNA from 1 species
CCUACGGGGGGCAGCAGUGGGGAAUAUUGCGCAAUGGGCGAAAGCCUGACGCAGCCACGCCGCGUGAGCGAUGAAGGCCUUCGGGUCGUAAAGCUCUGUGGGGAGAGAAGAAUAAAGCCUGUGAAGAGCGGGCCUUGACGGUAUCUCCUUAGCAAGCACCGGCUAACUCCGUGCCAGCAGCCGCGGUAAUACGGAGGGUGCAAACGUUGCUCGGAAUCAUUGGGCGUAAAGCGCACGUAGGCGGCGAAGCAAGUCGGGUGUGAAAGCCCUGGGCU